rnacentral:miRNA from 1 species
GGUUGGUGCAAAAGUAACUGCGGUUUUUCCCAUUCCUUUUAAUGACUAAAACCGCAAUUACUUUUGCAUCAAUC